rnacentral:rRNA from 1 species
AGCAGUAGCCACGGUAAUACGAAGGGUGCAAGCGUUGUUCGGAUUUACUGGGCGUAAAGGGCGCGUAGGCGGCGCGGUAAGUCACUUGUGAAAUCUCUGAGCUUAACUCAGAACGGCCAAGUGAUACUGCUGUGCUAGAGUGCGGAAGAGGCAACCGGAAUUCUUGGUGUAGCGGUGAAAUGCGUAGAUAUCAAGAGGAACACCUGAGGCGAAGGCGGGUUGCUGGGCCGACACUGACGCUGAUGCGCGAAAGCCAGGGGAGCAAACGGGAUUAGAUACCCCCGUAGUCCCUGUCUCUUAUAC